UACGUAGGUCCCGAGCGUUGUCCGGAUUUAUUGGGCGUAAAGCGAGCGCAGGUGGUUUAUUAAGUCUGGUGUAAAAGGCAGUGGCCCAACCAUUGUAUGCAUUGGAAACUGGUAGACUUGAGUGCAGGAGAGGAGAGUGGAACUCCAUGUGUAGCGGUGAAAUGCGUAGAUAUAUGGAGGAACACCGGUGGCGAAAGCGGCUCUCUGGCCUGUAACUGACACUGAGGCUCGAAAGCGUGGGGAGCAAACAGG
rnacentral:rRNA from 1 species